rnacentral:rRNA from 1 species
UACGUAGGGGGCAAGCGUUGUCCGGAAUCAUUGGGCGUAAAGCGCGCGUAGGCGGCCCGGUAAGUCCGCUCUGAAAGUCCAGGCUCAACCCUGGAAAGCGGGUGGAUACUGCCGGGCUAGAAUCCGGAAGAGGCGAGUGGAACUCCUGGGUGUAGGCAGGUGGAAUGCGCAGAUAUCAGGAAGAACACCAAUAGCGAAGGCAGCUCGCUGGGACGGUAUUGACGCUAAGGCGCGAAAAGCGUGGGGAGCGAACAGG